CGCGGGUUAGAGGAACGGUUACCUCGUAAGGCUCAUAACCUUGAGAACCGGGUUCGACUCCCGGACCCGCAACAA
rnacentral:tRNA from 3 species